rnacentral:rRNA from 1 species
AUUGAACGCUGGCGGCGUGCCUAACACAUGCAAGUCGAGCGGUAACAGGUGUAGCAAUACAUGCUGACGAGCGGCGAACGGGUGAGUAAUGCUUCGGAAUCUACCCAAUGGUGGGGAAUAACCAGCCGAAAGGUUGGCUAAUACCGCAUACGUCCCACGGGAGAAAGCAGGGGAUCGCAAGACCUUGCGCCAAUGGAUGAGCCGAAGUCGGAUUAGCUAGNGGUAGGGUAACGGCCUACCAAGGCGACGAUCCGUAGCUGGUCUGAGAGGACGACCAGCCACACUGGGACUGAGACACGGCCCAGACUCCUACGGGAGGCAGCAGUGGGGAAUAUUGGACAAUGGGGGAAACCCUGAUCCAGCGACGCCGCGUGUGUGAAGAAGGCCUGCGGGUUGUAAAGCACUUUUAGUGGGAUGAAAUGUUCAGGGUUAACACCUCUGG